rnacentral:rRNA from 1 species
UACGUAGGGUGCAGGCGUUUAAUCGGAAUUACUGGGCGUAAAGCGUGCGCAGGCGGUUUUGUAAGCCAGAUGUGAAAGCCCCGGGCUUAACCUGGGAAUGGCAUUUGGGACUGCAAGGCUAGAGUGCGGCAGAGGAGACUGGAAUUCCUGGUGUAGCAGUGAAAUGCGUAGAUAUCAGGAGGAAUACCGAUGGCGAAGGCAGGUCUCUGGGCUGACACUGACGCUCAUGCACGAAAGCGUGGGGAGCAAACAGG